rnacentral:rRNA from 1 species
GGUUUCUCGCAAAGGUUACGGGAGGUCGGACCUGCACAAUGACCCACGGGUUCAAUUGCCGCGGUACCCUGACCGUGCAAAGGUAGCGUAAUCAAUAGCCUAUUAAUUGUUGGCCUGUAUGAAUGGUUUGACGCUGGUGGCACUGUCUCUGCAGCAGGUAUUCGAAUUUAACUAUUGGGUGAAAAGGCCCAAAUGGAACUGAAAGACGAUAAGACCCUGUCGAACUUUAGGCGGAGCUUGUCGAUUUUUUUGGUGUUUUCAGAUAAGUUAAACCUUUGGUUGGGGCAACCGGGGGCCAAACAAAGCGCCCCCUUUUUUUAAGUUAACACCUGAAGAGGCGGUGCUGAAGAAGGCACCGCUGAGGGCAUUGGCUAUACAAGGAUGCAGCGUCAAGUUUGGGAGAAGUGAGCAUUUGACAGAAUAUUUUUUGCUUGUGGAAAGAGCCCUAGGACCAGUUGGGAGCAGGCACAAAGGAAGAGUUACCGCAGGGAUAACAGCGUAAUCCCCCUGGCGAGACCACAUUAAUGGGGGGGUUUGCGACCUCGAUGUUGGCUCAGGACAUCCUGAGGGCGAAGGGGCUUUCAAGGGUUGGUCUGUUCGACCAUUAAAGUCCUACGU